rnacentral:rRNA from 1 species
UGAGGAACAUGAUCUUCGGCGGGGGAUAGCCGGCCCAACGGCCGGGUAAUACCGCGUACGACCACAUGGGGACAUCCCUGAGUGGUGAAAGCAGCAAUGCGCCGAUGGAGUGCCUCGCGGCCUAUCAGCUAGUUGGUGUGGGUAACGCCCACCAAGGCGACGACGGGUAGCCGGCCUGAGAGGGUGACCCGGCCACACUGGGACUGAGACACGGCCCAGACCUCCGUACGGGAGG